UACAGAGGGUGCUAGCGUUGUUCGGAAUUAUUGGGCGUAAAGGGCGCGUAGGCGGCCUCGCAUGUCGAGUGUGAAAGCCCACCUCUUAAAGGUGGAAUUGCAUUCGAAACUGCAAGGCUAGAGUGCCGGAGAGGGUGGUGGAAUUCCUGGUGUAGAGGUGAAAUUCGUAGAUAUCAGGAGGAACACCGGUGGCGAAGGCGGCCACCUGGACGGUAACUGACGCUGAGGCGCGAAAGCGUGGGGAGCAAACAGG
rnacentral:rRNA from 1 species